rnacentral:rRNA from 1 species
GACGAACGCUGGCGGCGUGCCUAAUACAUGCAAGUUGAGCGAUGAAGAUUGGUGCUUGCACCAAUUUGAAGAGCAGCGAACGGGUGAGUAACGCGUGGGGAAUCUGCCUUUGAGCGGGGGACAACAUUUGGAAACGAAUGCUAAUACCGCAUAACAACUUUAAACAUAAGUUUUAAGCUUGAAAGAUGCAAUUGCAUCACUCAAAGAUGAUCCCGCGUUGUAUUAGCUAGUUGGUGAGGUAAAGGCUCACCAAGGCGAUGAUACAUAGCCGACCUGAGAGGGUGAUCGGCCACAUUGGGACUGAGACACGGCCCAAACUCCUACGGGAGGCAGCAGUAGGGAAUCUUCGGCAAUGGACGAAAGUCUGACCGAGCAACGCCGCGGGAGUGAAGAAGGUUUUCGGAUCGUAAAACUCUGUUGGUAGAGAAGAACGUUGGUGAGAGUGGAAAGCUCAUCAAGUGACGGUAACUACCCAGAAAGGGACGGCUAACUACGUG